AUUCGUCACACUAUCAUUAACUGAAUCCAUAGGUUAAUGAGGCGAACCGGGGGAACUGAAACAUCUAAGUACCCCGAGGAAAAGAAAUCAACCGAGAUUCCCCCAGUAGCGGCGAGCGAACGGGGAGGAGCCCAGAGCCUGAAUCAGUGUGUGUGUUAGUGGAAGCGUCUGGAAAGGCGCGCGAUACAGGGUGACAGCCCCGUACACAAAAAUGCACAUACUGUGAGCUCGAUGAGUAGGGCGGGACACGUGGUA
rnacentral:rRNA from 1 species